rnacentral:rRNA from 1 species
UACGGAGGGUGCAAGCGUUAUUCGGAUUUACUGGGCGUAAAGGGCGCGUAGGCGGCUUGAUAAGUCAGUCGUGAAAGCCCGGGGCUCAACCCCGGAAGUGCGAUUGAAACUAUCAGGCUUGAGUAUGGUAGAGGGAAGUGGAAUUCCUGGUGUAGCGGUGAAAUGCGUAGAUAUCAGGAGGAACACCGGUGGCGAAGGCGACUUCCUGGACCAAUACUGACGCUGAUGCGCGAAGGUGUGGGUAGCAAAC